rnacentral:rRNA from 1 species
CCUACGGGCGGCAGCAGUAGGGAAUCUUCCACAAUGGGCGAAAGCCUGAUGGAGCAACGCCGCGUGGGUGAAGAAGGUCUUCUGAUCGUAAAACCCUGUUGUUAGAGAAGAAAGUCCGUGCGAGUAACCGUUCACGUUUCGACGGUAUCUAACCAGAAAGCCACGGCUAACUACGUGCCAGCAGCCGCGGUAAUACGUAGGUGGCAAGCGUUAUACGGAUUUAUUGGGCGUAAAGGGAACGGAGGCGGUCUGUUAAGUCUGAUGUGAAAGCCUUCGGCUUAACCGGAGGAGUGCAUUGGAUACUGGGAGACUUGAGUGCAGAAGAGGAGGGUGGAACUCCAUGUGUAGCGGUGAAAUGCGUAGAUAUAUGGAAGAACACCAGUGGCGAAGGCAGCUCUCUAGUCUGUGACUGACGCUGAGGUUCGAAAGCGUGGGUAGCAAACAGGAUUAGAUACCCGUGUAGUC